GCACCAGACUCCUACGGGAGGCAGCAGUGGGGAAUAUUGCACAAUGGGGGAAACCCUGAUGCAGCGACGCCGCGUGAGUGAAGAAGUAAUUCGUUAUGUAAAGCUCUAUCAGCAGGGAAGAAAAUGACGGUACCUGACUAAGAAGCCCCGGCUAACUACGUGCCAGCAGCCGCGGUAAUACGUAGGGGGCAAGCGUUGUCCGGAUUCACUGGGUGUAAAGGGAGCGUAGACGGCGACGCAAGUCUGGAGUGAAAGCCCGGGGCCCAACCCCGGGACUGCUCUGGAAACUGCGGGGCUGGAGUACGGGAGGGGCAGGCGGAAUUCCUGGUGUAGCGGUGAAAUGCGUAGAUAUCAGGAGGAACACCGGCGGCGAAGGCGGCCUGCUGGACCGUGACUGACGUUGAGGCUCGAGAGCGUGGGGAGCAAACAGGAUUAGAUACCCCCGUAC
rnacentral:rRNA from 1 species